UACGUAGGGUGCGAGCGUUAAUCGGAAUUACUGGGCGUAAAGCGUGCGCAGGCGGUUUUGUAAGCCGGAUGUGAAAUCCCCGGGCUUAACCUGGGAAUGGCAUUCGGGACUGCAAGGCUGGAGUGCGGCAGAGGAGACUGGAAUUCCUGGUGUAGCAGUGAAAUGCGUAGAUAUCAGGAGGAACACCAAUGGCGAAGGCAGCACUCUGGGACGUGACUGACGCUGAGACGCGAAAGCGUGGGGAGCAAACAGG
rnacentral:rRNA from 1 species